rnacentral:lncRNA from 1 species
GCAUGGUAAAAAGGAAUUGGUACCACCCAUCUUAACCACCACUACAAAGCAUGUGCAACCAGACAUGGAAUUCUUCCAGCUGGUCAAACACAAUAGCAGUUUAGCAGUCCAGGCGCUGGUUCUACAACUUCACCUCUAUCCACGUUGGUGUAUUGGAAGGACAAUACUCGAACCGGAAUGGUGAAAUUUGUUUCUGUCACUGAGUUACCUCUGACUAUUACUAACAAUCAAGACUUCAUCUCGUUCG